rnacentral:misc_RNA from 1 species
GAAAUGCGAUAAGUAAUGUGAAUUGCAGAAUUCAGUGAAUCAUCGAAUCUUUGAACGCACAUUGCGCCCUUUGGUAUUCCUUAGGGCAUGCCUGUUCGAGCGUCAUUUAAACCCUUCAAGCUCAGCUUGGUGUUGGGUGACUGUCCGCCUCCUCCGGGCGUGGACUCGCCCCAAAGUGAUUGGCAGCCGGCGUACUGGUCCCGGAGCGCAGCACAUGUCGCGCAAACGAGUGCCUUGGUACGGCGGCGUCCAUAAGCCCCUCUCUCACGCUCUUGACCUCGGAUCAGGUAGGGAUACCCGCUGAACUUAAGC